AUUGAACGCUGGCGGCAUGCCUUACACAUGCAAGUCGAACGGCAGCACGGGAGCAAUCCUGGUGGCGAGUGGCGAACGGGUGAGUAAUAUAUCGGAACGUGCCCAGUCUGGGGGAUAACGUAGCGAAAGCUACGCUAAUACCGCAUACGAUCUAUGGAUGAAAGCGGGGGAUCGCAAGACCUCGCGCGAUUGGAGCGGCCGAUAUCAGAUUAGGUAGUUGGUGAGGUAAAGGCUCACCAAGCCGACCGAUCUGUAGCUGGUCUGAGAGGACGACCAGCCACACUGGGACUGAGACA
rnacentral:rRNA from 1 species